AGUGAACGCUGGCGGUAGGCCUAACACAUGCAAGUCGAACGGCAGCACAGUAAGAGCUUGCUCUUACGGGUGGCGAGUGGCGGACGGGUGAGGAAUACAUCGGAAUCUACUUUUUCGUGGGGGAUAACGUAGGGAAACUUACGCUAAUACCGCAUACGACCUACGGGUGAAAGCAGGGGAUCUUCGGACCUUGCGCGAUUGAAUGAGCCGAUGUCGGAUUAGCUAGUUGGCGGGGUAAAGGCCCACCAAGGCGACGAUCCGUAGCUGGUCUGAGAGGAUGAUCAGCGACACGGGGGGGGAGACACGGUCCAGACUCCUACGGGAGGCAGCAGUGGGGAAUAUUGGACAAUGGGCGCAAGCCUGAUCCAGCCAUACCGCGUGGGUGAAGAAGGCCUUCGGGUUGUAAAGCCCUUUUGUUGGGAAAGAAAAGCAGCAGGUUAAUACCCCGCUGUUCUGACGGUACCCAAAGAAUAAGCACCGGCUAACUUCGUG
rnacentral:rRNA from 1 species